UUGAGAAGGAGGUCGAGGGAGGAAUCACAGAGAAAGGAUCACAGAGACCUUUGUGAAUACUUGCUUCCUUGAUAGGCAGGUCUGGUUAGAGUAGGCAGAAAUUGAUGGUGGACUGAAGAAGAAAACUGUAACUUUCCAUCUUGUCUUCUUUCAGGAUAUCUUUCUGGUUCAGAAAGGGUUAAAUCACUGGUUUUGGCCUUAAUCCAACUCAGAACCUCAACAAAAUGAGAACGUGCGUACAAAGAAAGCGGUGGAUAUGUGCCGGAUGCAUUAGAUCGCAGGCCUAAAGAACAUCUGCCUCCUCUUCCUACCACCUUCCCCACUGUCCUGCGGUGGUGAGAACCCAUGGAGUGGAGCCUCUAGCCCUUUGGUGUGGAGACAAAGACAGUGAAUGAAAUUCCAGGGACUUGAGUUCUGCUUCCAGUUCUGCUGCCAUUGCAAGAAGUCAGCACCAUCCACAUGUGUCUCUAAGGCCUUGCUUCUUGCCAUGGCCACCAGCAAGCUGAUGGCUGAUUCCAGAUGGAACUGACUUGAAAGUCUUUUGAUUCUCAGACGACAAGAGCUCCCUUCUUAGAAAGAAAGAGGAAAGAAAGAGAGAAAGAAAGAAAGAAGAAAAGACUUUCUACCUUGGAUAGCGCUUAUUGCAGGUAAAUCUAACAGGCAGCCCGAAGGAAGAAAUGAGUCACAGAGAAUAAACUCUGUCUUCAGACCUAACA
rnacentral:lncRNA from 13 species